rnacentral:rRNA from 1 species
GAUGAACGCUGGCGGCGUGCCUAACACAUGCAAGUCGAGCGAACAGAUGUGGUGCCUGCUCCUGUGACGUUAGUGACGGAUAGGAGAGUAACACGGGGAUGACAAACAUAUAAGACUAGGAUAACUUCGGGAAACCAGAGCGAGGACCGGAUAAUAGAAUCAACCGCAGGGUUCACUCGCGAAAGAUGGGUUUGUUGUCAAUGCAAUAUGGAACCGAGCCGCAUUAGCUAAGUGGUUACGUAACGGUUUACCAAGGCAACGAUACGUAGCCGACCUGAGAGGGGGAUCGGACACACUGGAACUGAGACACGGUCCAGACUCCUACGGGAGGCAGCCGUAGGGAAUCUUCCGAGAUGGGCGAAAGCCUGACGGCGCAACGCCGCGUGGGUGAUGAAGGUAUUCGGGUCGUGAAACUCUGUGAUUAGGGAAGAACAAAUGUGUAAGUAACUAUGCAAGUCUUGACGGUACCUAAUCAGAAAGCCACGGCUAACUCCGUG